CCUACGGGAGGCAGCAGUGAGGCAUAUUGGUCAAUGGACGAGAGUCUGAACCAGCCAAGUAGCGUGAAGGAUGACUGCCCUAUGGGUUGUAAACUUCUUUUAUAAAGGAAUAAAACGAGGCACGCGUGCCUUUUUGCAUGUACUUUAUGAAUAAGGAUCGGCUAACUCCGUGCCAGCAGCCGCGGUAAUACGGAGGAUCCGAGCGUUAUCCGGAUUUAUUGGGUUUAAAGGGAGCGUAGAUGGGUUGUUAAGUCAGUUGUGAAAGUUUGCGGCUCAACCGUAAAAUUGCAAUUGAUACUGGCAGUCGUGAGUACAGUUGAGGUAGGCGGAAUUCGUGGUGUAGCGGUGAAAUGCUUAGAUAUCACGAAGAACCCCGAUUGCGAAGGCAGCUUACUAAACUGUGACUGACAUUGAUGCUCGAAAGUGUGGGUAUCAAACAGGAUUAGAUACCCCAGUAGUC
rnacentral:rRNA from 1 species